GACGAACGCUGGCGGCGUGCCUAAUACAUGCAAGUAGAACGCUGAAGAGAGGAGCUUGCUCUUCUUGGAUGAGUUGCGAACGGGUGAGUAACGCGUAGGUAACCUGCCUUGUAGCGGGGGAUAACUAUUGGAAACGAUAGCUAAUACCGCAUAACAAUGGAUGACCCAUGUCAUUUAUUUGAAAGGGGCAAAUGCCCCACUACAAGAUGGACCUGCGUUGUAUUAGCUAGUAGGUGAGGUAACGGCUCACCUAGGCGACGAUACAUAGCCGACCUGAGAGGGUGAUCGGCCACACUGGGACUGAGACACGGCCCAGACUCCUACGGGAGGCAGCAGUAGGGAAUCUUCGGCAAUGGGGGCAACCCUGACCGAGCAACGCCGCGUGAGUGAAGAAGGUUUUCGGAUCGUAAAGCUCUGUUGUAAGUCAAGAACGAGUGUGAGAGUGGAAAGUUCACACUGUGACGGUAGCUUACCAGAAAGGGACGGCUAACUACGUG
rnacentral:rRNA from 1 species